rnacentral:rRNA from 1 species
UACGAGGGGGGCAAGCGUUGUUCGGAAUUACUGGGCGUAAAGCGUGCGCAGGCGGUUUUGCAAGCCGGAUGUGAAAUCCCCGGGCUUAACCUGGGAAUGGCAUUCGGGACUGCAAGGCUGGAGUGCGGCAGAGGAGACUGGAAUUCCUGGUGUAGCAGUGAAAUGCGUAGAUAUCAGGAGGAAUACCGAUGGCGAAGGCAGGUCUCUGGGCUGACACUGACGCUCAUGCACGAAAGCGUGGGGAGCAAACAGG